CGCCAUAUUGCAUCCAACAGUUGAUUGCUGCUGCCAUUUUUAUGCGUAGCAGAAUGUUAUUCACAUCUCUAUGCUUCUAAUUUUCUAUUAUGUUUAUUUAAUUCAUAACCAGUUUGCAUGGCAACCGAUUGAAUGAAAUGGAUUAUUCGAAAAGCCACUAAAAAUGGAUCAACGAUUAUAUGUCAAGUCUUUUGAGCAUUUUGCAUCUGAGGAGCUCGAGAGGAUUCAUAGUUGAUGAAUUUUGCUGAAGAUCUUUCCCAGUAGUAAACUAGAUGGGAAUUUUUCUUUAUUUAAAAGAUAAGACUUGAAUAAAUUUUCUAAUCAUUAUAUUUUUUUUAUUGGAAAACAAAUAAAUAUUCAUCUUUGAUAGAAUAACUUUGUUCAACGAAUUCUACAUCUGAUGUCAUUUAGAUGUUUGGCUGCUGGUUGUCGUACAACCACCACUUUCCAUUCACUAAACAAAAGGCCACGUAUCGGUCAUGAAAUGCACUGAUGACCCCAGCAAUUCUGCAACAAUUUUGAAUAAUUGUACAUUAGAAACCAAAGGAAUAAUAUUUGAAUGUAAUUGAUGUAAAGUAAUACUCACUGAUACUGAUCGCCCAUUUCAA